UAUAAUCCAGGCUGAUUUCCUAAAGCUGUCUUCACUUCUCUCUAGGAAAUUACAAGAUGUGAGAUCAAAUGGAAGACCCAGCUGAGCGUGAGAACAAGAUCUUACUGGGACAUAGCAGGACCUGAUAAAUCUCUGCUGAAUAUAUUUCAAGGACAGCCAAGGGGAGGGUUAAUUGCACAAUUUGGGUUUUGUGCAAAUACAAUAUGUGCACUAAAUAUUUUAUUAAAUAUUGGCAUAUAUUCCAUAAAUAGAAAACACUUGCAUGAAAAUGAAGCGUUUAUUAUUGAGUAGUUAGAUAUUUUAAAUAGUUCAUGCAUAUUGCAGAGUAGGGAUGGAGGGAAGGAGGGGAGAUCUUUGGGAGAAAGAUGGCAAAUGGCACAGAAAACCAUCACAUUGCUGUGUGAUUUCAUAGUGACAUUUCAGUCUGCUGUUAGCUGAGGGGGCUUGACGAGAUGGCCUUAGAGACUGCAUCCAAAUCUCACAUCCUGACUCCUUGUUCUUCUCAAUAGGAUGGAACAAGUUUGGAAAAGAAAUUGUUUUAUUCAGAGGCACAGGAAGGCUCCAGUGACAGGCAUGUACCAGACCUGCGCUUGGCCAGUGACCUAGAGCUCCCUGAACUUCUCUGUGCAGGAGCAACUCCUGAAGUGACGGCCGAGCUGCUCAUCCUGUACAGUUACCUGGAUUUUGCUCCCAGCAAGCCACACCUUGGGAUUCAGGCUCAGGUUUGUGAUGAGCUAAGGCGGGGCUUAGUUCACAUGUUUAUUCUUGGUUUUCUGUUGCCUUCCUUCUACAAGUAUAUUAGAGAACCACUGGAGACAGAAAACUAUAAAGUGUUGCUUUCUAGAAAUGACUAUGAAAGCUUUUAUCACUGCUAUAUCCUUAAGAGCCUAAGCUCUACACUUUUUGAAAUUUUAGGGAGAGUGAGCCUAUGAUUUCAAGAUACCUUAAAAAGCAAAAUUUUAACCACGUCUUCCAAGUGCCAUUCUUCAUAAAUCUAUUUAGAAUCAAGCUUAAAAAUCACCACCAGCAAAUCAUUUUCGUAGCCUAUGUGGCAACUGAACAUUCUUCUAUUUAAUUUUUUCAGCACUGCUUUAUUAUAAGACAUAGGUUGCAAAAAAUAAUAAGCUAUUUGUAUUGUAAGCUGAAAAGAAUGAGAAUCAUAGAGUAGAUGUGCAGCAAUCUCUUCUGCUGCUGCUGCUAAGUCGCUUCAGUCGUGUCCGACUCUGUGCGACCCCAUAGACAGCAGCCUUCUGAGGAUGGCAAGAAAAAUAGACAUUUCAACUGUGCCUUUAGAUUCGCAAUCACGUUGAUUGAA
rnacentral:lncRNA from 1 species